AUAUGUAACACAUAAACAAACGUUAACUACUGAACAGCAGUUUCCUGACUCAGGACAGUUACAAACAAAUGCAUGUUUUAUGUCCUCUUUUACAUUAAAACAUGGAAUUUCCGUUAAAACUACAUGUUGUAAUGUCUAAUAAGGCCAACAAAUGUUUCCUGAUGACAACUCAUUUCAUUAUAAAUCAGAUAGUUUGAAGUCAUUUUUUGUACAUAAAUAAGGCCGUUAGUUUUCUCGUUUGAAUUGUUU
rnacentral:lncRNA from 1 species